rnacentral:rRNA from 1 species
CUACGGGAGGUAGCAGUAGGGAAUCUUCCACAAUGGACGAAAGUCUGAUGGAGCAACGCCGCGUGAGUGAAGAAGGGUUUCGGCUCGUAAAGCUCUGUUGGUAGUGAAGAAAGAUAGAGGUAGUAACUGGCCUUUAUUUGACGGUAAUUACUUAGAAAGUCACGGCUAACUACGUGCC